rnacentral:rRNA from 1 species
UACGUAGGGUCCGAGCGUUGUCCGGAUUUAUUGGGCGUAAAGAGCUCGUAGGCGGCUCAGUAAGUCAGAUGUGAAAACUCAGGGCUCAACCCGGAGACGCCAUCUGAUACUGCUGUGGCUUGAGUCUGGUAGGGGAUCACGGAAUUCCUGGUGUAGCGGUGAAAUGCGCAGAUAUCAGGAGGAACACCGGUGGCGAAGGCGGUUCUCUGGGCAUUACCUGACGCUGAGGAGCGAAAGUGUGGGGAGCGAACAGG